rnacentral:rRNA from 1 species
UACGUAGGGGGCUAGCGUUGUCCGGAAUCAUUGGGCGUAAAGAGCGUGUAGGCGGUCCGGUAAGUCCGCUGUGAAAGUCGGGGGCUCAACCCUCGAAUGCCGGUGGAUACUGUCGGGCUUGAGCACGGAAGAGGCGAGUGGAAUUCCUGGUGUAGCGGUGAAAUGCGCAGAUAUCAGGAGGAACACCAAUUGCGAAGGCAGCUCGCUGGGACGUUACUGACGCUGAGACGCGAAAGCGUGGGGAGCAAACAGG